UGAUGACAUAGAUUUCAUUGCUGAGUGAUACUGCAUUGUAUGUAAAAUCAUCGUACCUGAAUCCACUCAUUAUGCUGCUACGGGCCUGAUGACAUAGAUUUCAUUGCUGAGUGAUAUUGCAUUGUACGUAAAAUCAUCGUACCUGAAUCCACUCAUUGUGCUGCUAUGGGCCUGAUGACAUAGAUUUCAUUGCUGAGUGAU